rnacentral:rRNA from 1 species
UACGAAGGGGGCUAGCGUUGUUCGGAAUUACUGGGCGUAAAGCGCACGUAGGCGGAUAUUUAAGUCAGGGGUGAAAUCCCGGGGCUCAACCCCGGAACUGCCUUUGAUACUGGGUAUCUCGAGUCCGAGAGAGGUGAGUGGAAUUCCGAGUGUAGAGGUGAAAUUCGUAGAUAUUCGGAGGAACACCAGUGGCGAAGGCGGCUCACUGGCUCGGUACAGACGCUGAGGUGCGAAAGCGUGGGGAGCAAACAGG